AAUCCAUGGUAUGGACACUGAGUAGUGAUGCAUUUAAAUCUCUGUCAUGCCUCACGACAGGAUUCAAAGUUCUUCUGGUGGACGCCUGCUAUUUCAUUUAUCAGUCU
rfam:Arabidopsis thaliana chromosome 4, complete sequence.